rnacentral:lncRNA from 1 species
CUUCUAUUUAAAUUUAAAAGAGAGAGAGAGAGAGAGAAAUUAAGAAUAAAUUGCAACUAUAGACCCAAACUUUAAAAAAAAUGCAAAUUAGUUCAAAUAAAUUAUUAAAAUAUAAAAAAAAAAAAAUCCUCUUUCUCAAUCCUCUUCAACUCCUCUUCCUUACUUCUCAUCCACCACCACCACAACAAUCGUCGCCGCCAAAACCAACUGAGCUCACACCACAAGCUGCUGCCAUCAACCCCAAACACUUAUGAUAGAAAUUUGAUACAAAUACUACUCAAUUGAAAGGAGAUCUAAACUUGUAUGCUUCGAACUGUCCCAAAAUCAAUUGUGAUUCGUGCAAAAUUAUUGUUGAAGACCCAUUGUUGCAAUAGCUUCACCAUGAUGAGAUGGUGCUGAAUAUGGGGGUUUGUGAUCAUGAUGUCCACCACAGUCAUUGGAAUUCUGCCUGAAACCUGCGUGAUUACGGCGUUCGGCUCUGAUGUUUAUUGGAUGGUUGAGUAGGUGUUUGGGGACCACGAUUUGAUGCAUCAUGAUGAGGGGAAUCUACCAAUAUGUUGGGCUUGGGUUGGGAGUCAUCGAAAAGAGAGCUGCCAACAGUUUUGGUUUGUGUAACUUGCAAAUUUUGGAGAGAAAUUCCGGCCAAUUCACCGCUGAUAGAUUUUUGUUUUAAUAUCUAUCGUGCCUUGCCAUUUAUCUCUAUCUUGUGGCCCAAAUGAAAGCAUUAUCCUUCAGAUUUUUAGCUUUAUUUUCCUUCUUCGAUAUGAUCACUGGAUUUUUGUGAUCAUAACCUAGAGUAGAGUAUAAUUUUCUUUUUAAAUAUAUACUAUUUAG